rnacentral:rRNA from 1 species
GACGAACGCUGGCGGCGUGCUUAACACAUGCAAGUCGAACGGUGAAGCGCCUUCCUUUUUGGUGGGUGUGGAUGAGUGGCGAACGGGUGAGUAACACGUGAGUAACCUGCCCCCUUCUUCUGGAUAACCGCAUGAAAGUGUGGCUAAUACGGGAUAUUCUGGGUCUGUCGCAUGAUGGGUCUGGGAAAGAUAUUGUUUCGGUGGGGGAUGGGCUCGCGGCCUAUCAGCUUGUUGGUGGGGUGAUGGCCUACCAAGGCGGUGACGGGUAGCCGGCCUGAGAGGGUGGACGGGCACACUGGGACGGAGACACGGCCCAGACUCCUACGGGAGGCAGCAGUGGGGAAUAUUGCACACUGGGCGCAAGACUGAUGCAGCGACGCCGCGUGAGGGAUGGAGGCAUGCGGGUUGUGAACCUCUUUCGCCAGUGAAGCAGGCCUGCCUCGUUUGUGGGUGGGUUGACGGUAGCUGGAGAAGAAGCGCCGGCUAACUACGUG